rnacentral:rRNA from 1 species
UACGUAGGGGGCGAGCGUUGUCCGAAGUUACUGGGCGCAAAGCGCGCGUAGGCGGUCAUUUAAGUUCGGGGUGAAAGGUUCAGCGCUCAACGCGAACAGUGCCUUGAAUACUGGGUGACUUGAGUUCGGGAGAGGGCAGUGGAAUUCCUGGUGUAGCGGUGAAAUGCGCAGAUAUCAGGAAGAACACCCGUGGCGAAGGCGGCUCUCUGGGACGGUACUGACGCUGAGACGCGAAAGCGUGGGGAGCGAACAGG